GGCAAGAUGUCCGAGUGGUCUAAGGAGUUGGAUUCAAGCGAAAGCUUACCCGCUAUUGCUGGGUUUCCCAAUAGGCGUUCGCCUGCGGGGGUUCGAAUCCCCCUCUUGUCA
rfam:Schizophyllum commune H4-8 unplaced genomic scaffold SCHCOscaffold_10, whole genome shotgun sequence.